CGAUGCGUUUCUACCGAAACU
rnacentral:snRNA from 1 species